ACUUGACCGAUGAUGAUGAAUUUGCACAGUUCUGCAAAUUAUGCUGAAGACUGAUGAUCGAUACUGAGGUCACUG